AGUGUUUUGGGGUUUGAAGUUGGAAUCUUCAGCUACUGUCAAGAACAGCCACAAAAAUGUGUCACGAUCAAGAUCUUUGAGAGUCCACCAAUCAGGAGGCGUCUGUGACAGUCGCUGUCUUCUCAGAACAGAAUCCACACCCAGGAUUCAACCCAAAUGAUUUCUCAUCAGGGGGGACUUGUCCCCAUGUCCGUGUCCCUGGGGGAGGGCAGCUAUUUCCGAGUGUCUCUUCAGGGACAGCAGACCCACUGGAUGAGGGCCCGAAAAUGGUUUCAGCACCUGUGUCAGGCUCUGCUUUUGGGGUGAACUCAAGAUAAGACAAGGUGAGCAGAUCCCAUCUCACCAGUCAGGGAGGAAGCGCCAUCGGAGCAGAGACCUGAAGACAAUUCCAGGAAACCUGGCAAUGAAAGGUGAGAGAGAAGCUGAUUAUGGCCAGGUCUGGCACAGAAAGCCCCUGUUUGUGCAAUCCUGCAUUCUUCCUUUUUAA
rnacentral:lncRNA from 1 species